CCCUUAGAUGUCCUGGGCCGCACGCGCGUUACACUGACAGUUGCAACGAGUGCUCUCCUGCUCCGAUGGGAGUGGGUAAACUUCGAAAAGACUGUCGUGAUGGGGAUUGCUGCUUGCAAUUAUUCAGCAUGAACGAGGAAUUCCUAGUAAGCGCAGUUCAUCAAACUGCGUUGAUUACGUCCCUGCCCUUUGUACACACCGCCCGUCGCUAGUACCGAUUGAAUGGUCUGGUGAGAACUCAGGACGGCGGAGAUGCGGUCUGCUCGCAAGAGUAGGCGGUCACUGCCGGAACGUGUUCAAAUCAUGCCAUUUAGAGGAACUAAAAGUCGUAACA
rnacentral:rRNA from 1 species